UACGUAGGCAGCAAGCGUUGUUCGGAGUUACUGGGCGUAAAGAGUGCGUAGGCGGUUCCGUAAGUUUGGUGUGAAAUCUCCCGGCUCAACUGGGAGGGUGCGCCGAAGACUGCGGUGCUUGAGUGUGGGAAAGGUAGGCGGAAUUCCUGGUGUAGCGGUGAAAUGCGUAGAUAUCAGGAGGAACACCAAAGGCGAAGGCAGUGUCCUGGGGAGUACCUGACGCUCAGGUGCGAAAGCCAGGGGAGCGAACGGG
rnacentral:rRNA from 1 species